rnacentral:rRNA from 1 species
UGAGCAAUCUGCCCUUCUCUUCGGAAUAAGCGUAGGAAACCGCGUCUAAUGCCGAAUACGACCUCCUUUCGCAUGAUCGGAGGUGGAAAGCUCCGGCGGAGAAGGAUGAGCUCGCGGCCUAUCAGCUAGUUGGUGGGGUAACGGCUCACCAAGGCAACGACGGGUAGCCGGCCUGAGAGGGUGACCGGCCACACUGGGACUGAGACACGGCCCAGACCUCCGUACGGGAGCAGCAGG